UUCUCGUUCUACAACGUCGUCCUAUUUCUCAAGUGCAUUGGUCCCUUAUCGCCGUAUGUUGAUAAAUCGACACAUGAAAUGUAUACACAAAAAUCGGCACGAACUUAUGGGAUGACCUAAUAUAUUGUCGUUUAUUAGAACUUAUAUG